UAGUUUUUACAUUUAUUUAUUGAGUUCUCUUUAUCAAGUUUUAAGUCUUAGAUGAAGAUCUGAUCACAUUUCUGGUAAAAGUUAUGCAGAAAUACAGAAAUUUGUAAAGGGUUCACAAACUUUCUAGCAGCACUGUACAAGUGGUCAUUAAAUUCCCAUUGUUUUCUGUAUUGAACACUCAGUAGUACCGACCAUGUUAUCAUUCUGACAUGUGCUUUAUAGUGACUUUCUGAAACAGUAAACAGCAAAAGAAGCACAAGGUACGUUAAGUCAUAUACAGUGUUUAAGGGUGUAACAAUAUGGCAUCAUAUUGUAAUUUUUCCAUGAGAGACCAAACUAGACAUGAACCAAUUUGCAGCUGCACUACUGCCAGAGCUGCUCUUAAAGAAAAAUCAAUCAACACAUUGUGGCCAAUCACAAUUCAGAAUGAAACAGUACUGUGGUAUUAAAAGAGAAAUGUUUAUUCAGAUUGUCUCAUUCUACAGCAACAGCUACAUUCACGCAAGAUAUAGAGUUCUCCAGUUCAGGCUACAUAUAUAAAAGAAAGGCACUCAGCAAGGCCAGAUAUUUUAUUGUACAGUCACAGAGAAGCUUGAUAGACAUUUAGAUUCCGAAUCAAGUGAGAGUGUUAAAGAAAAUAAGAUAAAGAAAUAUUUUAAGAAAAAAAAAAGAAGUAUUGCAUGUGUACAAAUUAACGCUUUAAAUCAGGGGCAUCUUACAUAAUGGAUUAUACUUAGUCUGAUGGGCCAGAAAAAGUUGGUUAUUGACCAAUUUAGUGGAAAAGUACAUUGUGUGCACUCUGCAAUUCAUUAAAAAGAAAUAAAUGUGCAUAAAAAUAUUACGGUUCCUAAAUUCAUUUGCUGGGUUGGAUUACAAAUAACUCUAUAGGGCUGGUCAAGUCCUACAGGUGGCAUGUUUGACACCCCUGCUUUAAUGCUACAUUCAGAGUGGUUAGCUGUUUAAAACAAAUACAUUCUUUAAAUGGCAGCAUGAAGUGAUAAAUAACAUACAAUAAGAAAACAAAUUUAACAAUCUUUGAUUAUUAAUACUGUAUUUUAUAUUACUUUAGGAUUUAAUAAAAGUUAUUUGGUCUUCAUUGUUUUGUGCAACAUUUUAAUUCACAGUACUAUAAAAAGUGUUUUUAAUAAAAUGAAGGGGCAGCCUGAUUUUUUUUCUCAAAUACUGAAUUAAACUUGACUAAUAGCUCAGUUAUAGCAGUCUCUUCUGUAUAACCUAUAGCCAGUGUUAAUGAUGCAGCAAUACAUCUUUUUAUAAAAUACCGGUUUACUUUUCACUCUUCUUACAAGUCAGCUUGAAUCAUGAGAAUUUUGGGGUCUAUUUUGGUACAGUAUAUUGAAAAUCACUUUUUUAAAAAAAAAUAAUAAAAAAGGAAUGUGCAGAAGUAUUUUACCAUUUAAACAUAAAUACGAAACAAAGUGUUUUUUAAUACUGGCUCAUCUACAUUUCAAGACCUUGGAAUUAUACUACGCAUUCGACUUUAUGAUAAUUUUCUGGCUGGAAUGGCGUCAUUUUCCACCUUGGAAUGUUCGACAAAGUUUGCACCAAGUUAGUCAGCUAGCUGUGAUGAGUGAUGUAUAGUUUUCUCCACAAAUCGUACAGACAGUGAUCUAGAUUUAAAAAGCAGAUAUUUCUAUAUCAUGAUUGAUCUACAGUAAAAGAUCAAUCACUGUAAACAGGAAAGGAAUUGGUUGUUGAGGAGACCACCCCAGUUUCAAGUUAGGAGGAAUUCUUUGGCUUUUGCUGGUUGGAGUUAGUACAAUAUGCAACCUCGAGUUGAAAGCAUAAUGUUUUAUGUUCCCUUUCAUUGGCAAAAAUGAGUUGAUGUUAUAAAAGAUGUUAUUUUGUAUGUCUAAUAUACAUAUACAAUAUAUUUUACACCAAAAUACUGCUACAAAGUAUAACAAAAUGUGUGAAGUAUAAAAAUUGUUCUGUCUGCUUUGGCAUGAUUAAAACACUUGUAUCUUGUAAGAAUCCUAUAAUUCCAAGGUCUCUGUUUAUCUAUUUAAUAUUUUUAAAAUGUUAAAAAAUGCACACAAAAAAAAAAAGAGUAGUGAAAGUGCAAAAGCAGAUAUAUAAGUACGAUUAUAGAAAAGGCAGAAUCAGACCGGAGGGAGAAGCUUAAUCUUCAUAUGCUCUUGGAGUGCUCUGGGUGCUCACCACUGAUGAACAAAACACAGUAGAAAAAUACAAUUAUAUUAAUAACAGAACAUCUCAAUUCUAAACAUAUGUUCUAAUUGUUUAACUCUCCAUAGGGCUGGUACUAAUACCCAAUUAUAAAAAAAAAUCCUCAGUGAAAAUUUCAUUUAAAUCAAAUAUUCGCCAAAUGGUGCUAGCGAUGAAGGUGGCGAUAAAGCUCAGCAAAACUGAAGAUAUAAUUAUGUUAAGCUAGUUAGUUAGUUAGUUCCGUCCGCGCAGCGGGGCGCAUCGGGCAACAAGCAUUCGCCAGCGGGCUCGGUCAGCAGCGUCAAUUUCCACAUCUUCCCACUUGACGUCGAGCGUUCAUAGAUCUUCCAUGAAUGUUCGUCGCCAUGUAUUAUGCGGCCGCCCUAAUCUUCUCUUCCCCCGUGGCGGCGUCCAGCGCAGCGCGAUCUUUGCGUGGCGAUGGUCAAUCAUCCGUAGAAUGUGUCCUGCAAAGCGCAUUCUUCGCUCUACGACCAUUUCUGCCAGGCUGCGGGAGUUUGUUCUUCUAAGAAUUUCUUCAUUUGAAAUACGAUCACGGUAUGAUACACCGAGUAUUCUUCUCAGGCAUCGUUGCUGAAACACAUUCAGCUUGUGGAUGACUGCCCUCGAGCUCGUCCAAGUUUCAGAUGCAUAGAUGGCGGUUGGGAUAAUGAUGCUAUUAAACAGGUGAAGUUUGUUGUUGGUGUGGAUAGUUCGCCUAGCCCAAAUCGGCUGUAGCUGUUGGAAGACUGCAAAUGCUCUGCCGAUUCUGCGAUUGACAUCCGCGUUAGUCCCACCAUCCGUAGCCACAAUGCUGCCAAGGUAGGUGAACUGUUUGACUUCUUCGAUCAGCUGAUUGCUCACCGUGAUCCGCACCGGCGUCGUCCGGCCGACUGCCAUGACGUUGGUCU
ensembl:lncRNA